GCCGCAAUCUCCUUCUCCACUUCUCUCUUUUCCCAUGAAACCUCUCCUCAUCUUCGGUGGUAACCCUCCCUCACCACUCAUGCAGCGCCGCUCAUCGGCACUCACCAGCUCGCCAGCCACCAACUCGGUGGCCACCUUUCAUUUCGAUCGCCCCCACAUGCAUACGAAAGAACCCCAAAGAAGCCCAAAGAUGCUUCUUUUCUCAACCCUUCGGUUCGGCCGAGACAUCAAGAGUCUCAAACCCUCUCCGAUCGACACCCUAAACCAGAUACCUAAACCUUUCGAGAACUAAACGAAACCAAGCUCGAAUCUAAAGCCCCGAAACCACAAAAAAUAGCCUCAAAUCAUAAUCUGAAAUAAACCCUAAACUUACCUUUAAGAGGCGAGGUCUCACCUUCGAUGGAUACGGGAUUUCCCUUCAAACGACGAGAGGCUCUGUUUUGCUCCGGUGGCAGUGACGAUGGCUCAUCCAGUUACUCUCCAGUUUGUAUUUCUUGCUGGUGAGAUGCUUCAUGUUGCAGAAGCCUUUAUUGAAAAAAAUUAUCAUCCAACGGUAAUUUGUCGAGCAUACAAUAAGGCUUUAGAGGAUGCUAUUGAUGUACUUGACAAGAUUGCAAUGUCUAUUGAUGUGAAAGACCGUUCAACAGUGUUGGGGCUUGUGAAGAGCUGUAUAGGGACAAAGUUCACUAGCCAAUUAUAUUGGUUCCUUGCAGACAAAAUGUGAAUAAAAACCAGAUCUCAGUCCAGAAACAGAAUGUCUCUCGUUUGGAGAAGACCUGUGAUCUGAUCAGAAAUUUUCCAGAGUAUCUUGAUGUGGUUGUGAAUGCUGCAAGAAAAACUGACGGUAGACAUUGGGCCGAUCUGUUCACUGCUGCAGGAAGAUCUACAGAGUUGUUUGAAGAUUGCAUCCAACGGAGAUGGUACCGCACUGCAGCAUGCUACAUUCUUGUAAGAAUAAUUCUCCUUGAAAAUUUUAAAUUUGUUCUAAAAAUUUCAUGUUUUGUUUUUUUCCUUCCAAAAAUUGCCCUCACUAAUUUAAUUCAAGCAUAGAGCCUGUUUCAAAGCAUGCUUUGGGUUCUUAUACAAUUUAGCAGUUAUGGUCAACCUCUAAGAAGUAAAUUUACAGAGUUUGCUAUCUUCCAAGAAUUAUGUAUCUCUUCCCCCUUAGAUGUUGUUGGAAAGCUAUGCAUGAGAAGCGAGGGGACGUACUCUCUUAUUGCAUGUCAACUUGUAUAAAUUUGGAUAUGUUGUCAUAUUUGUCAUAUUUUUAUAAAUUUAGAUGUGUUGUCAUAUUUUGUAAACUUUCAAUACAUUUGAAGUUUUAGGGUAAGCUUCUUGCUUUUGGUUUCUGUUCUAUGGUUGAUGAGGAUUUUCGCUCUAAAUGGGUUUUUUUUUCCUACUGUUGAUGGUUGAUAGCCUUUUCGAGUUAUCUGGUUUUUAUCUCGUUUUUGUUUUUUGUUUCUGCCUUUUUUUUCGUUGAUGGCUAAUGGUUGAUGGGUACCUCCUAUUGUUGAUUCCUCUUUGGUUUUUUGAUGGCUGACCUCUCUCCCCUUUUCUGAUGAUGAUCGAGACUAUAUCCUUGAUAUUUUCUCUCUACCUUCUUGUUGUGCUUGGUGCUCUGCCCCUUGUUUUGUGUGUCUGCAGGGCAUGGAUUCGAGCAUGGGUGACAACAGCAUUAGUUUUGGUGGAUGGCCGAUCAGCAAUGGUCUUCCUCGGUGGGUUUACGUGGGUGGUGCACUGUCUCGGGUUUCCUCCUGUAGGAUUUGCACCAUAUGUUAAUAUAAUAAACAUGAGUAAUAAUAAUACUAAUAAUUAUUAUAAAAAAAACU